CAAUGCCAAGCAGAAACGUCAAUAUUAUUUAUCACGGGACGGAAACUCCCAACAUUCUGACCUCCGAAUUAGAGUUGUGAGAUUGUUAUGUGUGUUGGUUUAAGUCUAACUGAUUUCUGUGUACCGGUAAGUUCGUUCAAUGGAACUAUAAGUUGCAGAGUGAAAAUAAAUUGUAAAGCAGUUAAAUAUGCAUUUAUUUAAUACCAAAUACAAUUUAUUGGAAAGUAUGUAGGAUGCACAAUAGGAAGACUUCAUAAUUAACGUGGUUUCGAAAUAAUCGAGGAACUUUCUCCACCACUACACUGAAUGCUGUGUACUAUCCUCAGACGACGUUUAUUCCGACGUCCGACAAACUUAAACAGC